rnacentral:rRNA from 1 species
GACUGUACAAAGGUAGCAUAAUCAUUUGUCUUUUAAUUGAAGGCUAGUAUGAAUGGUUGGAUGAAAAAUAAUCUUUCUUAUUUUUAUAAAAAAAAAUUAAUUUUUUAGUUAAAAAGCUUAAAUGUUUUUGGAGGACGAGAAGACCCUAUAGAGUUUUAUUAAUAUACCUAUAUUUUAUAUAUAGUUUAUUUUUUAAAAUAUUUUUAUAUUAAUUAUGUUGGGGUGACAGAAAAAAUAUUAUAACUUUUAAUUAUUAAAACAUAUAUGUAUGUAUUUUUGACCCUUUAAUAUGGGUUAUAAGAUUAAAUUACCUUAGGGAUAACAGCGUUAUUCUUUUGAAGAGUACUUAUCGAUAAAAGAGUUUGCGACCUCGAUGUUGGAUUAAAAUAAGUGGCAGGGGUAGAAUAUUGUCUACUAGGUCUGUUCGACCUAUAAAUUUUUACA